AUUGAACGCUGGCGGCAGGCCUAACACAUGCAAGUCGAGCGGAUGAAGGGAGCUUGCUCCUGGAUUCAGCGGCGGACGGGUGAGUAAUGCCUAGGAAUCUGCCUGGUAGUGGGGGGUAACGUCCGGAAACGGGCGCUAAUACCGCAUACGUCCAGAGGGAGAAAGUGGGGGAUCUUCGGACCUCACGCUAUCAGAUGAGCCUAGGUCGGAUUAGCUAGUUGGUGGGGUAAAGGCCUACCAAGGCGACGAUCCGUAACUGGUCUGAGAGGAUGAUCAGUCACACUGGAACUGAGACACGGUCCAGACUCCUACGGGAGGCAGCAGUGGGGAAUAUUGGACAAUGGGCGAAAGCCUGAUCCAGCCAUGCCGCGUGUGUGAAGAAGGUCUUCGGAUUGUAAAGCACUUUAAGUUGGGAGGAAGGGCAGUAAGUUAAUACCUUGCUGUUUUGACGUUACCAACAGAAUAAGCACCGGCUAACUUCGUG
rnacentral:rRNA from 1 species